CAUUGAUAACGACAUUAGAUCCUUUUAAUUUUCUUCCUUGUUUCAGCGGCGUUCUUGUGCUUUCGAUUUACAAACCUUAAUAUAAUAGCCGGUUUAUUGCUGUUCCUCCUAGGUAGAGGGUGGCAUCCUUCGACAGAGUUACAGUCCAGGUCAAUCCCUUUGAACCACAGGAAAGCAGCCACCUGUUGUUCUGUGGAGCUAAUGUCAAGCUCUCCAGGUUCCUCAUCGCUGUCAGUGGUCACCGCCUGAGCAUAUGACCGGGGUUUAAUAUGAAGCCCAGUGAUGAUGAUGUUGUUUAUCCUGGAAUAUUGUUUCAGGUCAGCGACCCUACUUUCCAGGUGGGGAUAAGCUGGAGGUGGAGGUGAAGUGAGGUCCGGGCGAGUACUGAGACCUUUAUGGGUGCGCAGGGAGGCAGGCAGGUGAGAUUGGCAGAUUGCCUGAAAAGGAUUAAGCAGCUGCUGACCGGAAUCCAGAAGCUUGGCUAUGGCAGGGUUUGGAUGACGAGUCCAGGUACCGACUAGGAGACAGGAAGAGAGAGGCCGACGGCGAGUUAAUAAGAGGAGGAUCCUCGGAGACCUUCACUUUCACCGUCCGUGCCUAUGCAUCAAUAUAUCGACACAAGGAUCUGUAAAGGGAUGCAAAGUAAAAGCAUACACAUGUAAAAAAGUCUGUGAAUUAAGAAAUAAAGAAAAUCAUGUCGGAAGAACACAGCAUUCCUGACGCUUUGUUGGAAGCCGUGGCGGAAUUGAACAGAGAUUCAAUUCCGCCACGGCGGAUUCAAUUCCGGAUUCAAACACGGCGGAAUUGAAUCGGAUUUAUACAUCGG
ensembl:lncRNA